ACGGAAGGCAGCAGUGGGGAAUAUUGCACAAUGGGGGAAACCCUGAUGCAGCGACGCCGCGUGAGUGAAGAAGUAUUUCGGUAUAUAAAGCUCUAUCAGCAGGAAAGAUAAUGACGGUACCUGACUAAGAAGCCCCGGCUAACUACGUGCCAGCAGCCGCGGUAAUACGUAGGGGGCAAGCGUUAUCCGGAUUUACUGGGUGUAAAGGGAGCGUAGACGGUUUUGCAAGUCUGAAGUGAAAGCCCGGGGCUCAACCCCGGGACUGCUUUGGAAACUGUAGAACUAGAGUGCAGGAGAGGUAAGUGGAAUUCCUAGUGUAGCGGUGAAAUGCGUAGAUAUUAGGAGGAACACCGGUGGCGAAGGCGGCUUACUGGACUGUAACUGACGUUGAGGCUCGAAAGCGUGGGGAGCAAACAGGAUUAGAUACCCUGGUA
rnacentral:rRNA from 1 species